UUUUUUUUUUUAUUUCUGACGUGUAUAUACAUACUUCAUUAUAUAAUCUUUCAGAAUAACCAUGUUGGGUAAGGUAAACUAACAGGUAUACCUUGUCGAAUCUAAGAAAAAAAUAAUAACAAUAAAAAUAAACAUACAAGAAUGAUGCUGGAUUCUGUAGUCUCUCCAUCACUGCAAAUAGUCACAAUAAUAAUAAUAAUAAUAAUAAUAAUAAUAAUAAUAAUAAUAAUAAUAAAUCUGGGUAACUUAAUACACAUGAAGCAUAACACACAUAUACAUCAGGCAGAAGAGACCUUAUCCUCUUGUUGCUAUUUAAACUAUUGUCCAUAUUGCUUCUAUUUCUUCCUUUAAUGCCAUCUUGUAUGUGCUAUAAUGAAGAGAAUAAUAAAAGAAUACAGUGGCGUGACCAGCCUGUCUAUAUAUGGGUUAAUAACGUGGGUAUAUGAUAUGAGGCAUCAGGAGGGGCAUAAGGAACAGAGCCAUUAUUUUCUAGUCUGAACUGGAAAAGGAAGAUUACACAUGCCAGGAAGAACAAGAUAUAUCACAAGGGAAAAGCAACCCUUGGUACACAAUAUAUAUAAGGCCCCUUUUCCCUCGUAUCGUAAUUCAUGUUUUCUCUGGGGUGUGUUGUGGCCUGAUUCUCCCAGUGCAAUCUAGACCACAGUGCCUUUGGUUGGUAUUGUAAUUGAUUCCACCCUUCACAUCCUCACUUCCAAAGGCCCUAAGAUCACCCGGGUUCCAAUGAGUGCUUCUCAGGUUCAUAAUAUAUAGCCUGUCUCUCCCAGUGCAAACUAGACCACAAUGGCUUUUGUUGGUUUUGUCCAAUGUUUCCACCCCUCACACCCUCACUUCUAAAGGUCAAAAAAGAUCAGUUGGGUUCUAAUAAGUGUUUUUUGGGGGUCAUGGUGCAGAAGAAGGGUCAGGAUGUGUUGUUGCCUGUCUCUCCCAGUGCAAACUAAAAAUAUAUGGCUUUGGUUGGUAGACAGAUGAUUCCACCCCUUACAUCCUCACUUCCAAACGCCGAAUAGAUCACUUGGGUUUUAAUGAGUGUUUUUUUAGAUUCAUGGUUACAAAAGUAGGAUGAAACUACCAGAGGGGUCAUAAAUCUAUCCCUGGUAAUGCCCGAAGCUCCCACGAAAGCCUUGUCAAAUAUGUGCUUGAGACCCGACCAUAAGAUCACUUGGGUUCUAAUGAGUUUUUUAGCUUCAUGGUACAGAAGGGUCAGACUACCACCAGGGUUAUAAAUCUAUCCCUGGUAAUGCCCAAAACUCCCACAAAAGCGUUGUGUGCUUGGGCAUCAAAAUGUUUUAAGUAUAUGACCCUUAGUCCCAAUGAGUGUUUUUAGGUUCAUGGUACAGAAGGCUCAAACUACCAGAGGGGUUAUAAAUCUAUCCCUGGUAAUGCCCAAAACUCCCACAAAAGCGUUGUGUGCUUGGGCAUCAAAAUGUUUUAAGUAUAUGACCCUUAGUCCCAAUGAGUGUUUUUAGGUUCAUGGUACAGAAGGGUCAAACUACCAGAGGGGUUAUAAAUCUAUCCCUGGUAAUGCCCGAAACUCCCACAAAAGCGUUGUGUGCUUGGGCAUCAAAAUGUUUUAAGUAUAUGACCCUUAGUCCCAAUGAGUGUUUUUAGGUUCAUGGUACAGAAGGGUCAAACUACCAGAGGGGUUAUAAAUCUAUCCCUGGUAAUGCCCAAAACUCCCACAAAAGCCUUGUGUGCUUGGGCGUCAUAAUGUGUAAGUACAUGACCCUUUGUCCCUUAUGCCUCUUCUCUGCCACACGCCUCAUUUUUUUGUAACAAUCCGGGACUGACAGAUAACAAACGGAUGAAGACAAACACCAAAACUUUAUGUAGUAUUGCGUCACAAGAAUUCCGUAAAGUCAACAUUCUGAAGAUAUAUAAUUAUAGUCUAACUCACUUGAAAAAUGGUUAUGCAUCUGCUAAAUAAUAAAAAGCCUAUAGUUGUGUAUAUUAUUCUUUCUUGCUUGCGUUUCUUCCUCUCUCUUUCCACCUUCUUCAUCACACUUUAUAUUAUCCUUUCUUGCGUUCCUUCCUCUCUCAUUCUCUACUAUUUCCUCUCUUUACACAUUAUCUCCUUCCACCUUCUUUAUUACACUGUUUAUAUUAUUCUUUCUUGCUUGCGUUUCUUCCUCUCUCUUUCCACCUCCUUCAUUACACUUUAUAUUAUCCUUUCUUGCGUUCCUUCCUCUCUCAUUCUCUACUAUUUUCUCUCUUUACACGUUAUCUCCUUCCACCUUCUUUAUUACACUGUUUAUAUUAUUCUUUCUUGCUUGCGUUUCUUCCUCCCUCGUUCCCUUCUAUUCCGUCAUUUUACACCUUAUCUCCUUCCACCUUCUUUAUCACACUGUUUAUAUUAUUCUUUCUUGCAUUCCUUCCUCUCUACGUCUCUUCUAUUCCCUCUCUUUAUAUGCCUCAUCUUCCUCUGUCUUCUUUAUGGCAACUACCAACUGCCCUUCUUCACUCGAUCUCAAAUUUCUGGUAUAAAGAGGACUGAAUGCCACUCUGUACCACGUUACACAAUCUUACUCUCUCUCUCUCUCUCUCUCUCUCUCUCUCUCUCUCACACACACACACACACACCAGCCUUAUAUAA